AUUGAACGCUGGCGGCAUGCUUUACACAUGCAAGUCGAACGGUAACAGGUUAAGCCGACGAGUGGAGAACGGGUCAGUAAUGCAUCGGAACGUCCCCGGUCGAGGGGGAUAACACAACGAAAGCUGCGCUUAUACCCCAUACGAUCUGAGGAUAAAAGCGGGGGACCGUAAGGCCUCGACCGAACCGAGCGUCCCAUGUCAGAUUAGGUAGUUGGUGGGGUAAAGUCUCACCAAGCCAACGAUCUGUAGCUGGUCUGAGAGGACGACCAGCCACACUGGGACUGAGACACGGCCCAGACUCCUACGGGAGGCAGCAGUGGGGAAUUUUGGACAAUGGGCGAAAGCCUGAUCCAGCAAUGCCGCGUGCAGGAAGAAGGCCUUCGGGUUGUAAACUGCUUUUGUACGGAGCGAAAAGGUCUCCUCUAAUACAGGGGGCUCAUGACGGUACCGUAAGAAUAAGCACCGGCUAACUACGUGCCAGCCGCCGCAGUAA
rnacentral:rRNA from 1 species